CAUCCUCUCAUCUGCGGCUCCCCCUCGGCCAAGUUUUCCGGAAACAUCCGGCUGGAAGGAUGCUCCAGGGAGCGGAGCGGGCAAAAGCAGGCACUGGGGGUGGCCCCAGGACUCCUCCGGCCGCUGCUACCAGCUGCCCCAGGGAGCAGAGCAGUGCCCUUCCUGCUUGGGAGGGGAGCGAGGGCUACGGCAGCAGCCAGCGGGAAGUUGUCAGUUCUGUGUGCUGGGUUUCUCUGUGCCAGGCGUCACCAGUGCGCACGCGGCGUCCGCAGAUCUUCCAGGCACCAGUGUCUCAGGGAGGACACUCGGUGAGGGUGCUGUCCCGGAGCCCCCAGACCCACCAAGCCACAAGAAAUCCAAAAGCCCGGGGCAAGACAGGACCAGGCAGCCGUGUCCCUAAAAGGCUGGGCUGUGGGACCCAGGGCUCCGCGCGGCUCUUCUUG
rnacentral:lncRNA from 1 species